UGCAUGGUGGUGCAGAUGGUAGCACUGUUGCCUUGCAGCAGGAAGGGCCUGGGUUCAACUCCUGGCCAGGGCUCUUUUUGCAU